rnacentral:rRNA from 1 species
UACAGAGGUGGCAAGCGUUGUUCGGAAUUACUGGGCGUAAAGGGCGUGUAGGCGGUCGCCUAAGUCAGACGUGAAAUCCCCAAGCUUAACUUGGGAACUGCGUCUGAUACUGGGUGGCUUGAGUUCGGGAGAGGAAUGUGGAAUUCCAGGUGUAGCGGUGAAAUGCGUAGAUAUCUGGAGGAACACCGGUGGCGAAGGCGGCAUUCUGGACCGAAACUGACGCUUAAGCGCGAAAGCGUGGGGAGCAAACAGG